rnacentral:RNase_P_RNA from 2 species
AAUGGAAGGUGAUUGAGGUUUAAAGAAAAAAUUAAUUGUUUUUUAAGCUUAGGAAAGUCCAUGCUAGCACAUGCUGCGAUUGUAUGUAGUGUUUGUGUCUAAGGAAUAAAUAACUUAGAGUAUUUUUGGUUUCAAAAGUAACGGCGUUUUUUGAUAUCUAAGGAUUUAUCUUAUUGAAUCUAUGAAACAAAAACUGAAAGUGUCACAGAGACGAGCUAAUUAGAAAUAAUUAGGUGAAACGCGAUAAACCCCUCAAGCUAGCAACCCAAAAAAUGGUAGGGGCAUGUAAAACGAUGAAAUGAAAUUAGUUUUACACUACUUUUUGAGUAGAAGAUAAAUGAUCACACUUGUUUUUAACAAGAACAAAACAUGGCUUAUGCAC